UCUACUUAGUUUUGACAAAACAUUUAAAAAAUUUUGGCAUGCCAAUGUUCCCAAGCAUUGCUGCAUCUACCUGUAUUCUUCUACUAUGGGUUAAUCCGCCGGAACUAUUAAAUAUAGUCCAUGGCCCAAUUAUAAGAUCGACAAGUAAGACCAGCUGAUACCUUCAUUUUCUGUCAACAUUAUUUGAAUUCGCCUGUCAACAAAGAUGUCAAUAAUUACUUGUCCGUUAUAUACAUUGGUGUAUCAACCCCGUAGCUAUUAGAAUAACUAGAAGGACGUAGCUAAAUCGACAUAGAAUUUUAUGCUGAUCAAGAAUAUACAUAAUAUAGUCUAAAAUGUUUAUUUCGAGGUGACAAAUCUUAUAUACCCUCCAUACUAUGGUAAAGGCUAUAAAAAGAUAAGAAACUUACUUUUCAAAAAUGGUGAGAGUUUGCAAUUUGCAUUGACCUGAUCCGCCCAUGCAUUUGUUUCAGAAAUACGACAAAUUUUCUAUUACGAACUCUGUCAUCAGUUUACAAAUGUAAUAGUUGGUCAGCCUCGCUGCAUUCUAGGUCUUACAACACUGUCCGCUGCCAUUGAUAAAAUUCGCAUAUCCGAUACCAAACUCACCCCCAUAUAUGAUGAUCUUGGCCAAAUAAGUCCUAAAUCGAUGUGUUUGUUAAAAAAUGUAUUAAAAAUUUUCAAUUAAAUUUUACAUUUAGUUCCAA